UGCAGUCGAGCGGAUGAAGGGAGCUUGCUCCUGGAUUCAGCGGCGGACGGGUGAKUAAUGCCUAGGAAUCUGCCUGGUAGUGGGGGAUAACGUCCGGAAACGGGCGCUAAUACCGCAUACGUCCUGAGGGAGAAAGUGGGGGAUCUUCGGACCUCACGCUAUCAGAUGAGCCUAGGUCGGAUUAGCUAGUUGGUGGGGUAAAGGCCUACCAAGGCGACGAUCCGUAACUGGUCUGAGAGGAUGAUCAGUCACACUGGAACUGAGACACGGUCCAGACUCCUACGGGAGGCAGCAGUGGGGAAUAUUGGACAAUGGGCGAAAGCCUGAUCCAGCCAUGCCGCGUGUGUGAAGAAGGUCUUCGGAUUGUAAAGCACUUUAAGUUGGGAGGAAGGGCAGUAAGUUAAUACCUUGCUGUUUUGACGUUACCAACAGAAUAAGCACCGGCUAACUUCGUGCCAGCAGCCGCGGUAAUACGAAGGGUGCAAGCGUUAAUCGGAAUUACUGGGCGUAAAGCGCGCGUAGGUGGUUCAGCAAGUUGGAUGUGAAAUCCCCGGGCUCAACCUGGGAACUGCAUCCAAAACUACUGAGCUAGAGUACGGUAGAGGGUGGUGGAAUUUCCUGUGUAGCGGUGAAAUGCGUAGAUAUAGGAAGGAACACCAGUGGCGAAGGCGACCACCUGGACUGAUACUGACACUGAGGUGCGAAAGCGUGGGGAGCAAACAGGAUUAGAUACCCUGGUAGUCCACGCCGUAAACGAUGUCGACUAGCCGUUGGGAUCCUUGAGAUCUUAGUGGCGCAGCUAACGCGAUAAGUCGACCGCCUGGGGGAGUACGGCCGCAAGGUUAAAACUCAAAUGAAUUGACGGGSGCCCGCACAAGCGGUGAGCAUGUGGUUUAAUUCKAAGCAACGCGAAGAACCUUACCUGGCCUUGACAUGCUGAGAA
rnacentral:rRNA from 1 species